UCCAGCAGCUCUGAUCAGAAAAUCCACCUCAAGCUAAGCAGUUUGGGCCUGUCCAGAACUUGGAGGGGAGACCAACUAGGAAAGCUGGGUUGCUGCUGGAA
rnacentral:rRNA from 1 species